AUUGAACGCUGGCGGCAUGCCUUACACAUGCAAGUCGAACGGCAGCGCGGGCUUCGGCCUGGCGGCGAGUGGCGAACGGGUGAGUAAUACAUCGGAACGUGCCCUAGAGUGGGGGAUAACUAGUCGAAAGAUUAGCUAAUACCGCAUACGAUCUCAGGAUGAAAGUGGGGGACCGCAAGGCCUCAUGCUCCUGGAGCGGCCGAUGUCUGAUUAGCUUGUUGGUGGGGUAACGGCCCACCAAGGCGACGAUCAGUAGCUGGUCUGAGAGGACGACCAGCCACACUGGGACUGAGACACGGCCCAGACUCCUACGGGAGGCAGCAGUGGGGAAUUUUGGACAAUGGGGGAAACCCUGAUCCAGCAAUGCCGCGUGUGUGAAGAAGGCCUUCGGGUUGUAAAGCACUUUUGUCAGGAACGAAACGGUGGGGGCUAAUACCUUCUGCUAAUGACGGUACCUGAAGAAUAAGCACCGGCUAACUACGUGCCAGCCGCCGCCGUAA
rnacentral:rRNA from 1 species